rnacentral:rRNA from 1 species
UGCAGUCGAGCGGAGCGAGGGUGCUUGCACCUUACUUACGGCGGACGGGUGAGUAAUGCUUAGGAAUCUGCCUAUUAGUGGGGGACCACAUUCCGAAAGGGAUGCUAAUACCGCAUACGCCCUACGGGGGAAAGCAGGGGAUCUUCGGACCUUGCGCUAAUAGAUGAACCUAAGUCGGAUUAACUAGUUGGUGGGGUAAAGGCCUACCAAGGCGACGAUCUGUAGCGGGUCUGAAAGGAUGAUCCGCCACACUGGGACUGAAACACGGCCCAGACUCCUACGGGAGGCAGCAGUGGGGAAUAUUGGACAAUGGGGGGAACCCUGAUCCAGCCAUGCCGCGUGUGUGAAGAAGGCCUUUUGGUUGUAAAGCACUUUAAGCGAGGAGGAGGCGCUCUAGGCUAAUACCCUAGAUGCGUGGACGUUACUCGCAGAAUAAGCACCGGCUAACUCUGUGCCAGCAGCCGCGGUAAUACAGAGGGUGCGAGCGUUAAUCGGAUUUACUGGGCGUAAAGCGCGCGUAGGUGGCUAAUUAAGUCAAAUGUGAAAUCCCCGAGCUUAACUUGGGAAUUGCAUUCGAUACUGGUUAGCUAGAGUAUGGGAGAGGAUGGUAGAAUUCCAGGUGUAGCGGUGAAAUGCGUAGAGAUCUGGAGGAAUACCGAUGGCGAAGGCAGCCAUCUGGCCUAAUACUGACACUGAGGUGCGAAAGCAUGGGGAGCAAACAGGAUUAGAUACCCUGGUAGUCCAUGCCGUAAACGAUGUCUACUAGCCGUUGGGGCCUUUGAGGCUUUAGUGGCGCAGCUAACGCGAUAAGUAGACCGCCUGGGGAGUACGGUCGCAAGACUAAAACUCAAAUGAAUUGACGGGGGCCCGCACAAGCGGUGGAGCAUGUGGUUUAAUUCGAUGCAACGCGAAGAACCUUACCUGGCCUUGACAUACAGAGAACUUUCCAGAGAUGGAUUGGUGCCUUCGGGAACUCUGAUACAGGUGCUGCAUGGCUGUCGUCAGCUCGUGUCGUGAGAUGUUGGGUUAAGUCCCGCAACGAGCGCAACCCUUUUCCUUACUUGCCAGCAUUUCGGAUGGGAACUUUAAGGAUACUGCCAGUGACAAACUGGAGGAAGGCGGGGACGACGUCAAGUCAUCAUGGCCCUUACGGCCAGGGCUACACACGUGCUACAAUGGUCGGUACAAAGGGUUGCUACACAGCGAUGUGAUGCUAAUCUCAAAAAGCCGAUCGUAGUCCGGAUUGGAGUCUGCAACUCGACUCCAUGAAGUCGGAAUCGCUAGUAAUCGCGGAUCAGAAUGCCGCGGUGAAUACGUUCCCGGGCCUUGUACACACCGCCCGUCACACCAUGGGAGUUUGUUGCACCAGAAGUAGGUAGUCUAACCUU